rnacentral:rRNA from 1 species
AGAGUUUGAUCCUGGCUCAGAACGAACGCUGGCGGCAGGCUUAACACAUGCAAGUCGAGCGCCCCGCAAGGGGAGCGGCAGACGGGUGAGUAACGCGUGGGAAUCUACCUUUUGCUACGGAAUAACUCAGGGAAACUUGUGCUAAUACCGUAUGUGCCCUUCGGGGGAAAGAUUUAUCGGCAAAGGAUGAGCCCGCGUUGGAUUAGCUAGUUGGUGAGGUAAAGGCUCACCAAGGCGACGAUCCAUAGCUGGUCUGAGAGGAUGAUCAGCCACACUGGGACUGAGACACGGCCCAGACUCCUACGGGAGGCAGCAGUGGGGAAUAUUGGACAAUGGGCGCAAGCCUGAUCCAGCCAUGCCGCGUGAGUGAUGAAGGCCCUAGGGUUGUAAAGCUCUUUCACCGGUGAAGAUAAUGACGGUAACCGGAGAAGAGGCCCCGGCUAACUUCGUGCCAGCAGCCGCGGUAAA